AGCUCCAAUAGCGUAUAUUAAAGUUGUUGCGGUUAAAAAGCUCGUAGUUGGAUUUCUGUUGAGGGCAGGCGGUCCGCCCUAUGGGCGUGUAUCUGCAUUUCCCUCGGCAUCCUCUCGUAGCACGUUGCUGCGCUUGACUGCGUGGUGCGGAUUACGGGACUUUUACUUUGAGGAAAUUAGAGUGUUCACGGCAGGCAAUCGCCCUGAAUAUAUUAGCAUGGAAUAAUGAUAUAGGUUCUUGGCCCUAUUUUGUUGGUUUCUAGAGCUAAGAAAAUGAUUAAUAGGGACAAUUGGGGGCAUUUGUAUUAACGCGUCAGAGGUGAAAUUCUUGGAUUGCGUUACGACAAACGACUGCGAAAGCAUUUGCCAAAGAUGUUUUCA
rnacentral:rRNA from 1 species